UACGGGGGGGCAAGCGUUGUUCGGAAUUACUGGGCGUAAAGGGCGCGUAGGCGGUUUGCUAAGUUGGAUGUGAAAACUCUGGGCUUAACCCAGAGCCUGCAUCCAAAACUGGCAAACUUGAGUACUGGAGGGGAAAGCGGAAUUCCUGGUGUAGCGGUGAAAUGCGUAGAUAUCAGGAGGAACACCGGUGGCGAAGGCGGCUUUCUGGACAGUAACUGACGCUGGAGGCGACGAAAGCUAGGGGAGCAAACAGG
rnacentral:rRNA from 1 species